rnacentral:rRNA from 1 species
GCGAACGGGUGAGUAACACGUGGGUGACCUGCCCUCAGCUCUGGGAUAAGCCUGGGAAACCGGGUCUAAUACCGGAUAUGACCUCCUGUCGCAUGGCGGGUGGUGGAAAGUUUUUUCGGCUGAGGAUGGGCCCGCGGCCUAUCAGCUUGUUGGUGGGGUGAUGGCCUACCAAGGCGACGACGGGUAGCCGGCCUGAGAGGGCGACCGGCCACACUGGGANNGAGACACGGCCCAGACUCCUACGGGAGGCAGCAGUGGGGAAUAUUGCGCAAUGGGCGAAAGCCUGACGCAACGACGCCGCGUGGGGGAUGANGNNNUUCGGGUUGUAAACCUCUUUCGCCAUCGACGAGGCCCUUCGGGGUGACGGUAGGUGGAGAAGAAGCACCGGCCAACUACGUGCCAGCAGCCGCGGUAAUACGUAGGGUGCGAGCGUUGUCCGGAAUUAUUGGGCGUAAAGAGCUCGUAGGCGGUGUGUCGCGUCGGUCGUGAAAACUUGGGGCUUAACCCUGAGCUUGCGGUCGAUACGGGCAUCACUUGAGUUCGGCAGGGGAGACUGGAAUUCCUGGUGUAGCGGUGAAAUGCGCAGAUAUCAG